rnacentral:tRNA from 1 species
GGGGCAGUAGCUCAGUUGGGAGAGCGCGAGCUUUGCAAGCUUGAGGUCAGCGGUUCGAUCCCGCUCUGCUCCACCA